CCUACGGGAGGCAGCAGUGAGGAAUAUUGGUCAAUGGGAGGAAUCCUGAACCAGCCAUGCCGCGUGCAGGACGACGGCUCUACGAGUUGUAAACUGCUUUUGUACCGGGGUAAAAUGCUCUACGAGUAGGGUUUUGAAAGUACGGUACGAAUAAGGAUCGGCUAACUCCGUGCCAGCAGCCGCGGUAAUACGGAGGAUGCGAGCGUUAUCCGGAUUUAUUGGGUUUAAAGGGUGCGUAGGCGGAAGGUUAAGUCAGCGGUCAAAUGUCGGUGCUCAACACCGGCCUGCCGUUGAAACUGGUCUUCUUGAGUGAGCGAGAAGUAUGCGGAAUGCGUGGUGUAGCGGUGAAAUGCAUAGAUAUCACGCAGAACUCCGAUUGCGAAGGCAGCAUACCGGCGCUCAACUGACGCUGAGGCACGAAAGCGUGGGGAUCGAACAGGAUUAGAUACCCCUGUAGUC
rnacentral:rRNA from 1 species